rnacentral:rRNA from 1 species
UGGGGAAUAUUGGACAAUGGGCGAAAGCCUGAUCCAGCCAUGCCGCGUGUGUGAAGAAGGUCUUCGGAUUGUAAAGCACUCUAAGUUGGGAGGAAGGGCAGUAAGCGAAUACCUUUCUGUUUUGACGUUACCGACAGAAUAAGCACCGGCUAACUCUGUGCCAGCAGCCGCGGUAAUACAGAGGGUGCAAGCGUUAAUCGGAAUUACUGGGCGUAAAGCGCGCGUAGGUGGUUCGUUAAGUUGAAUGUGAAAGCCCCGGGCUCAACCGGGGAACGGCAUCCAAAACUGGCGAGCGAGAGUAGGGCAGAGGGUGGUGGGAGUUCCUGUGUUGCGGUGAAAUGCGUAGAUAUAGGAAGGAACACCAGUGGCGAAGGCGACCACCUGGGCUCAUACUGACACUGAGGUGCGAAAGCGUGGGGAGCAAACAGG